rnacentral:misc_RNA from 1 species
AACACCUCAGCCAGAUUCUUUUUCUGGGAUGGACUUGAGCAAACCCAACGUGGCCUCAGGCGGCGGCGGGUUGCUUAAAAUGCAGGUGCAGCUGUGACAAGAACAGACUGAGCUAAAAGCAUAUCUAAUUUAGUCCGCCUGGCGGAUUAUCUCUAUUUGCUGCAGUUCAACCAAAAGUCGUCUUGUCGGGCUGACUGAUGCAGGAUUUGUCAGACUUUCUUUCUCUCUCUGAGAGAAGGGCUUCUUUCAAA